GAGUUUGAUUCUGGCUCAGAUUGAACGCUGGCGGCAUGCUUUACACAUGCAAGUCGAACGGCAGCACAGGGAGCUUGCUCCUGGGUGGCGAGUGGCGAACGGGUGAGUAAUGUAUCGGAACGUGCCUGGUAGUGGGGGAUAACCACUCGAAAGAGUGGCUAAUACCGCAUGAGAUCUCUGGAUGAAAGCGGGGGACCUUUGGGCCUCGCGCUACUGGAGCGGCCGAUAUCAGAUUAGGUUGUUGGUGGGGUAAAGGCCUACCAAGCCUGCGAUCUGUAGCUGGUCUGAGAGGACGACCAGCCACACUGGGACUGAGACACGGCCCAGACUCCUACGGGAGGCAGCAGUGGGGAAUUUUGGACAAUGGGCGCAAGCCUGAUCCAGCAAUGCCGCGUGCAGGACGAAGGCCUUCGGGUUGUAAACUGCUUUUGUACAGAACGAAAAGUCUCUGGCUAAUAUCU
rnacentral:rRNA from 1 species